CCGCAAUGGGCGAAAGCCUGACGGUGCAGCAUUGUGUGAGGGAGGACGGCUUUUGGGUUGUAAACCUCUUUUAUCAGGGAAGAAUCGAUGACGGUACCUGAUGAAUCAGCAUCGGCUAACUCCGUGCCAGCAGCCGCGGUAAUACGGAGGAUGCAAGCGUUAUCCGGAAUUAUUGGGCGUAAAGCGUCCGUAGGUGGUUUAUCAAGUCUGCUGUCAAAGCGUGGAGCUUAACCGCAUAAGGGCAGUGGAAACUGAUGAACUAGAGUGCGAUAGGGGUAACAGGAAUUCCCAGUGUAGCGGUGAAAUGCGUAGAUAUUGGGAAGAACACCAGCGGCGAAGGCGUGUUACUGGGUCUACACUGACACUGAGGGACGAAAGCUAGGGGAGCGAAAGGGAUUAGAUACCCCUGUAGUCCUAGCCGUAAACGAUGACAACUAGGCGUGGUUCGUAUCGACCCGAGCCGUGCCGUAGCCAACGCGUUAAGUUGUCCGCCUGGGGAGUACGCACGCAAGUGUGAAACUCAAAGGAAUUGACGGGGGCCCGCACAAGCGGUGGAGUAUGUGGUUUAAUUCGAUGCAACGCGAAGAACCUUACCAAGGCUUGACAUCCUCGGAACCCUGAUGAAAGUUAGGGGUGCCUUCGGGAGCCGAGAGACAGGUGGUGCAUGGCUGUCGUCAGCUCGUGUCGUGAGAUGUUGGGUUAAGUCCCGCAACGAGCGCAACCCACGUUUUUAGUUGCCAUCAUUCAGUUGGGCACUCUAGAGAGACUGCCGGUGACAAACCGGAGGAAGGUGUGGAUGACGUCAAGUCAGCAUGCCCCAUACGUCUUGGGCUACACACGUACUACAAUGCGUCGGACAAAGAGCAGCCAGCCAGCGAUGGUGAGCAAAUCUCAUAGGGGGGCGCUCAGUUCAGAUUGCAGGCUGCAACUCGCCUGCAUGAAGGCUUAAUCGCUUGGACCCGCAGGUCAGCAUA
rnacentral:rRNA from 1 species